rnacentral:rRNA from 1 species
GCCUAACACAUGCAAGUCGAGCGGCAGCGGGUUUAGUAGCAAUACUAGAUGCCGGCGAGCGGCGGACGGGUGAGUAAUACGUAAGAACUUGCCGUAUAGAUGGGGACAACCAAGGGAAACUUUGGCUAAUACCGAAUACACUCGAGAGAGGAAAGGUGCCUAGCAAUAGGUGUCGCUAUAUGAGAGGCUCUCGUCCGAUUAGCUAGUUGGUGGGGUAAGAGCUCACCAAGGCGAUGAUCGGUAACUGGUCUGAGAGGACGACAAGUCACACUGGGACUGAGACACGGCCCAGACUCCUACGGGAGGCAGCAGUGGGGAAUAUUGGACAAUGGGGGAAACCCUGAUCCAGCGAUGCCGCGUGGGUGAAGAAGGCCUUCGGGUUGUAAAGCCCUUUAAGCUGGGAAGAAGCUAGUGAUGCGAAUACCAUCAUUAGUUGGCGGUACCGGCAGAAUAAGCGCCGGCAAACUCCGUGCCAGCCGCCGCGGUAA